GUACAAUUGCUUGGUGCAGGUUUUUUUAGAUGCAUUGUCCCCAUAUACAGAUGAGGAGACAGCCUGUGAUACAACCACAUGCGAUUUUGAAGAUCAGGAAUGAAGUCUCGUUUUGACACCAACGGAGGCCGCCCUUGCUGCUACGACCCGAUCCUAUUCUCUGUAAGUGGGAGUUUUCAGGCAGUUUCCACAGUGGACUACAAAGGCCAGGAAAAUAGUGCAUCUUAAUCCAGUCCUGGGUCUGCAAAAUGGAGCACAAUCACUGAGAAAGCAACCCCAGCUGGUCACUGGGUUCCUGCUCUCCGACAGCAAAAUGGAGAGGAGCCGAGCUAUAAAAUGCCAGGUGAGUGUAAUUAGCUUGUUCCCGCUAAAGAUAAACCCCAGCUUUAUCUAAUUUUGUUUUUAACAGAUCUUUGAAAGUGCCAGCAAAGCAACGGACGUAAGGGAAUCUAGGAAAAGCUGUAAGAAGAAGGUGGUGGAUGAGCUAUGGAGCCUUUAAAGCUUGGGAAAUUGAAGUGUUAGUGCCUGCACCAGCUUGGACUUCUGAUGAGGCUUCUGCAAGCCUAAUUGGAUGCGAUUGGUUGAACUGCCUCUUUCAGAUGUCUCACUGCCCUGAAACGCUCCCGUUUGGGUGGAAACUCCUUAGGCCAACGUUUUUUGUCUGCCUUACCCUAAAAGGAUAAAGCUGAUUUCAUAAAGGCGGUGUGCUGCUGUAAGCCUUCCUCCAUGAUGAAGAUGAUCUGUAGAACUGAACUUAUAAUGUCUUUGGGGGCCUUAAGUAAAUGGAGCUGAACAGAAGACAUUGCCACCACUGCAGAAAGGGGGUCAUGUUUGCAUCUUGGACUGUAGAUCAGCUCUCUGAGAUUUCUAUUGAAUUCUGUGGGACUUUCCCGUCGUGGCUGCCAAGGCCCAGAAGGUAAUGUUGUGUAACUGAGCUGUAAGCCACUGCUGUCAUCAGACCCUGGGUUAGGAGCUGAUUCAGAGCCUGUCUGAACCAAAGUCUCAGGCUAAAGAGAGGGACAGCAAUAGCUGCAGCUGGUCUCUUGUUCAACGGGUUUUGAGGAGAAGACUAACUCCAGAAAGUGGG
rnacentral:lncRNA from 1 species